CUGUCAAUCACAGUUCCUGCACGUGCCACAGGCGGCCACAGAUCCCCAUCGUGCGCAUUAUCACAUACAUCAGCCUGAAGUUCACAUGUUUGUUGGAUUUAAACGCGGCGUGAUGGCGGAGAGAACAUUCACUAACAAACUUCCUAGGAAAGCAACCAAUGAAAGAAGGAAACAAAGAUAGAAAGAGCUCGUGUCCGUAAUAAAACUAGGAUCAAUAUCGGACCGGCAUUUGAAAGGUGGAGGAAUCUACGAGAUUUUAAAAGGUUCAAGCUGGAUGCAGAGCUUGCCACAUUUCUUAUCGACAGUUUACCUUUUGAGAUGGCGAAACCAGUAAUGCGUCUGCAAAACCCCAAUGCAUCAGUUGGUCAUCAGCAGGCCAUAUUGGUGGCAAUGAAUGAGGCCCGUGCCCAUGCCUAUAGAGACUCACAGGAGGGCAAGUUUUCCACUACCUCCUGCCCAGCUGCUGAAUGAGACCACUGCCCUGGCACAUGCAAAAAGGAUGCUUCAGACUGAUGGGAUCGCAGCACCAUCUCGACAGCAGUGUUUAGGGAAGUUGGUGCUACCGUUCGGCCAGUACCUGAAUCCAAUGAUGUGAACUACAUGAAGUAGAUUGGGUCAUCCACCAAGACCCGGUGCUGGAUCCUGUCAUAGGCCACGGCCAUCUUUGAACCUCUCUCACUGCACGACAUAGGACCACCGAUAUAGAGCCACAAUCACAGAAAUCACGACGAUUGUUUCACGAUGGCAAUCUUUCGUCUGGGACAGCCAAAAAUCGUGCAGUGUAUCCCGGGCUUUAGGGGAGCGCAGCCACAGCAGAUCGACAAGCACAUACAUAAGCCGGUUGUGCUGGCGCAUAUUUUUUGGCCAUCUUCACUUUUUGGACCACGGUGGCGUCUGCAAGGUCAUCCCUUUUUGUUCUACAGUACAACGUGUUGCCCCAGUGUGUGCGGUACAGCUGGUGGUAUUUCUGUGGCUGCUUGUCAUGCUCCUCCACCGCAUUUCAGGGAUCGAGGACCCUGUUCCUCUGCGCAGUGUUGUGGAGCAGCUUCCGGUCUGUCAAGCCGACCUCCACCAGCACAGUACAGAAUGCCUCCAGUUUCUGAAACCCGGGCAGAGGACUGUCACUGCAGACAUCCUCCUGUAAAACAUACACAGAGAGAGAGACAGAGAAAAAAGUAGGUAAGUUCCAAUGCAUACAAUGUCUUUCAGAGGUCACAUUUAUCAGUUUUCUCUUCUGUCAGACUAAUAGGUAAUGUACUCACAAAGGCAGGAGGGUUGACCGUAGCUAAUAAAUGCUGAUAAAUGUGAUGCGCAGCUUGACAGCAGGAUGGUCCUCAUCGCUGUGGUACGCCUCGUCUGCUUCGCCGUCUGGGUGACCUCCUCUUCCGGCCCAGGACUGUUGUUGACGAUGCCCUCAAGAGUGAAGGACUCCCCAGUGCUCUGGCUGAAAAGAUAUUCGAGCCCAAGCAGCUCGUCUGACUGGACGUCAGCUGGGGUCCUGAAGUUCUCUUCCACUGUCUCACCAAACAGCUGCUGGCAGCAGGAGUUGAGGCGGUCAAUGAGCGGCACGGAGUAGACUCGGUGGUGCCGGCCUCUGCCCCAAACACGGCGUCUGAUCUGCGGUCGGAGUUCGACCUGGUGAUUCCACUGAUGAGGUAGACCUGGUAAGGCCGUGGCGCACACUGGGGACCUGAACAUACCAACAACAGAUUACUUGGAAUCAUUUGGAACAGCGACUUGUGGAAACCCCUCCAGGCUGUUGCUCCCACGCAGGCCCUUUUAAUACGGGAGGUCCACACCGUUGAUGGUCGUGGUGCGGGCAACCUGGUACAUGGGUUGGGUACAUG